AGAGUUUGAUCCUGGCUCAGGACGAACGCUGGCGGCGUGCUUAACACAUGCAAGUCAAGGGGAACGUCUUUCUUCGGAGGGAUUAGUAUACUGGCGAACGGGUGAGUAACGCGUAGGCGACCUGCCUUUAAGUUUGGGAUAACACUGCUAACGCGGUGCUAAUACCGGAUAAGGCAUACAUUCUGCAUGGAUUGUAUGUUAAAGCGGGCUUUCGGGCUCGUGCUUAGGGAUGGGCCUGCGUCCCAUUAGUUAGUUGGCGGGGUAACGGCCCACCAAGACAUCGACGGGUAGCCGACCUGAGAGGGUGAUCGGCCACACUGGGACUGAGAUACGGCCCAGACUCCUACGGGAGGCAGCAGUGAGGAAUAUUGCGCAAUGGAGGAAACUCUGACGCAGCAACGCCGCGUGCGGGAUGAAGCUUUUAGGAGUGUAAACCGCUGUUAGAAGGGACGAAUAAGUAUCAUUCGAACAGGGUGAUACGAUGACGGUACCUUCAGAGGAAGCCCCGGCUAACUCCGUGCCAGCAGCCGCGGUAACACGGGGGGGGCAAGCGUUGUCCGGAAUUAUUGGGCGUAAAGGGCGCGUAGGCGGGCUGAUAAGUCUGAGGUGAAAGUUUGCGGCUUAACCGUAAAAUUGCCUUGGAUACUGUCAGUCUUGAGUUCGGAAGAGGGAAGUGGAAUUCCUGGUGUAGCGGUGAAAUGCGUAGAUAUCAGGAAGAACACCGGUGGCGAAGGCGGCUUCCUGGUCCGAAACUGACGCUGAGGCGCGAAAGUGUGGGGAGCGAACAGGAUUAGAUACCCUGGUAGUCCACACAGUAAACGAUGGAUACUAGGUGUUGGAUGGUGACGUUCAGCGCCGGAGCAAACGCAUUAAGUAUCCCGCCUGGGGAGUACGAUCGCAAGAUUGAAACUCAAAGGAAUUGACGGGGGCCCGCACAAGCGGUGGAGCAUGUGGUUUAAUUCGAUGCAACGCGAAGAACCAUACCUGGGCUUGAACUGAUAGCGCCCUAUCCUGAAAGGGAUAUUUUCUUCGGAACGUUAUUAGAGGUGCUGCAUGGCUGUCGUCAGCUCGUGUCGUGAGAUGUUGGGUUAAGUCCCGCAACGAGCGCAACCCUUGCCCUUAGUUGCCAUCAGGUUAAGCUGGGAACUCUAGGGGGACUGCCACGGCUAACGCGGAGGAAGGUGGGGACGACGUCAAGUCAUCAUGGCCCUUACGUCCAGGGCUACACACGUGCUACAAUGGCCGGUACAACGGGCAGCGAGACAGCGAUGUUAAGCGAAUCCCUUAAAACCGGUCUCAGUUCGGAUUGCAGUCUGCAACUCGACUGCAUGAAGUCGGAAUCGCUAGUAAUCGCGGAUCAGCAUGCCGCGGUGAAUACGUUCCCGGGCCUUGUACACACCGCCCGUCACGCCAUGGGAGUCGGUAGCGCCCGAAGCCGGUGGCCCAAUCCAUUCGUGGAAGGGAGCCGUCGAAGGUGAGACCGAUAACUGGGGCGAAGUCGGAACAAGGUA
rnacentral:rRNA from 1 species